rnacentral:rRNA from 1 species
AUGGCAUCGGAGGAUGUGGUGGGGAAGAGCAGGGGCGACAUGGCCGUCAACACCAUCGUCAACCUGGCUGAGGAGGCCAAGCUCGCGCGCGAGGGCAUCAAGGGCCCCGCCCAUGGGUGUCUUCAACUUAAGACGCUGCCCUUCCUCUGCUCCCUGUCCAAGCAAGCGAGCUCUGGAUCCACCCCCACAACCACGGCAUCGGCACCGACACCGGAGGCCAUGGAAAUGCAGCUCCGUCGCGUAGUCGUCGAGCCAAGGUUCAUUGAUGACAGCCAAGGGUUCAUGCUCGGAAACGACUACAUCUUGCUCCAUGUUGUCGGCUCAGCUAGAGUCCUUAAUCACGAGGAGAUGGGACACGUCGAUUGUUAG